GACGAACGCUGGCGGCGUGCCUAAUACAUGCAAGUAGAACGCUGAAGGAGGAGCUUGCUUCUCUGGAUGAGUUGCGAACGGGUGAGUAACGCGUAGGUAACCUGCCUGGUAGCGGGGGAUAACUAUUGGAAACGAUAGCUAAUACCGCAUAAGAGUAGAUGUUGCAUGACAUUUGCUUAAAAGGUGCAAUUGCAUCACUACCAGAUGGACCUGCGUUGUAUUAGCUAGUUGGUGGGGUAACGGCUCACCAAGGCGACGAUACAUAGCCGACCUGAGAGGGUGAUCGGCCACGCUGGGACUGGGACACGGCCCAGACUCCUACGGGAGGCAGCAGUAGGGAAUCUUCGGCAAUGGACGGAAGUCUGACCGAGCAACGCCGCGUGAGUGAAGAAGGUUUUCGGAUCGUAAAGCUCUGUUGUAAGAGAAGAACGAGUGUGAGAGUGGAAAGUUCACACUGUGACGGUAUCUUACCAGAAAGGGACGGCUAACUACGUG
rnacentral:rRNA from 1 species